UACGUAGGGUGCGAGCGUUGUCCGGAAUUAUUGGGCGUAAAGGGCUCGUAGGCGGUUUGUCGCGUCGGGAGUGAAAUCCACUGGCUUAACUGGUGGCUUGCUUUCGAUACGGGCAGACUGGAGGUAUGCAGGGGAGAACGGAAUUCCUGGUGUAGCGGUGAAAUGCGCAGAUAUCAGGAGGAACACCGGUGGCGAAGGCGGCAUCCUGGACCAAAUCUGACGCUGAGUGAGCGAAAGCCAGGGGAGCAAACGGG
rnacentral:rRNA from 1 species